UACGGAGGGUGCGAGCGUUGUCCGGAAUCACUGGGCGUAAAGCGCACGCAGGUGGCUGAGAAAGUCGAUUGUGAAAGCCCUGGGCUUAACCUGGGAAUUGCAGUCGAAACUACUCGGCUAGAGUAUGGGAGAGGACAGUGGAAUUCCCGGUGUAGCGGUGAAAUGCGUAGAUAUCGGGAGGAACAUCAGUGGCGAAGGCGGCUGUCUGGCCCAAUACUGACACUCAGGUGCGACAGCGUGGGGAGCAAACAGG
rnacentral:rRNA from 1 species